rnacentral:rRNA from 1 species
UACGUAGGAUGCAAGCGUUGUCCGGAAUUAUUGGGCGUAAAGAGUUCGUAGGCGGUUGCCUAAGUCUGUUGUUAAAGGCCUGAGCUCAACUCGGGUAUGGCAAUGGAUACUGGGCAGCUAGAGUGUGGUAGAGGUCACGGGAAUUCCAGGUGUAGCGGUGAAAUGCGUAGAUAUCUGGAGGAACACCAGUGGCGAAAGCGGCGCACUGGACCACUUCUGACGCUGAGGCGCGAAAGCUAGGGGAGCAAACAGG